rnacentral:rRNA from 1 species
UACGUAGGGUGCAAGCGUUGUCCGGAAUUAUUGGGCGUAAAGAGCUCGUAGGCGGUUUGUUGCGUCGGCUGUGAAAUCCCGAGGCUCAACCUCGGGUCUGCGAGUCGAUACGAGCAAACUAGAGUGGUUGGCAGGGGAGACUGGAAUUCCUGGUGAUAGCGGUGAAAUGCGCAGAUAUCAGGAGGAACACCGGUGGCGGAAAGGCGGGGUCUCUGG